rnacentral:rRNA from 1 species
UGAGACCUGAUGCCGAGCCGAUUGUGGUGAAGUGGAUGAUCCUAUGCUGUCGAGAAAAGCCUCUAGCGAGUGCUGUUGCGGCCCGUACCCUAAACCGACUCAGGUGGUCUGGUAGAGAAUACCGAGGCGUUCGGGUGAACUAUGGUUAAGGAACUCGGCAAAAUGCCCCCGUAACUUCGGGAGAAGGGGGGCCACGGCUGGUGAUCCCACGUGCUGGGGGAGCUGGUGGUGGCCGCAGAGACCAGCGAGAAGCGACUGUUUACUAAAAACACAGGUCCGUGCGAAGCCGUAAGGCGAUGUAUACGGACUGACGCCUGCCCGGUGCUGGAACGUUAAGGGGACCGGUUAGUCACAUUUCGGUGUGGCGAAGCUGAGAACUUAAGCGCCAGUAAACGGCGGUGGUAACUAUAACCAUCCUAAGGUAGCGAAAUUCCUUGUCGGGUAAGUUCCGACCUGCACGAAUGGCGUAACGACUUCUUGACUGUCUCAACCAUAGGCCCGGUGAAAUUGCACUACGAGUAAAGAUGCUCGUUUCGCGCAGCAGGACGGAAAGACCCCGGGACCUUUACUACAGCUUGAUAUUGGUGUUCGGUUCGGUUUGUGUAGGAUAGGUGGGAGACUGUGAUACUCGCACGCCAGUGUGGGUGGAGUCGUUGUUGAAAUACCACUCUGAUCGUGCUGGAUGUCUAACCUGGGUCCGUGAUCCGGAUCAGGGACAGUGUCUGGUGGGUAGUUUAACUGGGGCGGUUGCCUCCUAAAAUGUAACGGAGGCGCCCAAAGGUUCCCUCAGCCUGGUUGGUCAUCAGGUGGUGAGUGUAAGUGCACAAGGGAGCUUGACUGUGAGACUGACGGGUCGAGCAGGGACGAAAGUCGGGACUAGUGAUCCGGCGGUGGCUUGUGGAAGCGCCGUCGCUCAACGGAUAAAAGGUACCCCGGGGAUAACAGGCUGAUCUUCCCCAAGAGUCCAUAUCGACGGGAUGGUUUGGCACCUCGAUGUCGGCUCGUCGCAUCCUGGGGCUGGAGUCGGUCCCAAGGG